GACAUAGGUGGCGAACGUUAUCCGGAAUUAUUGGGCGUAAAGAGCUCGUAGGCGGUUUGUCGCGUCGUCUGUGAAAACCCACGGCUCAACUGUGGGCUUGCAGUCGAUACGGGCAGGCUAGAGUUCGGUAGGGGAGACUGGAAUUCCUGGUGUAGCGGUGAAAUGCGCAGAUAUCAGGAGGAACACCGGUGGCGAAGGCGGGUCUCUGGGCCGAUACUGACGCUGAGGAGCGAAAGCGUGGGGAGCGAACAGG
rnacentral:rRNA from 1 species